ACUCCUACGGGAGGCAGCAGUAGGGAAUCUUCCACAAUGGGCGCAAGCCUGAUGGAGCAACACCGCGUGAGUGAAGAAGGGUUUCGGCUCGUAAAGCUCUGUUGUUAAAGAAGAACACGUAUGAGAGUAACUGUUCAUACGUUGACGGUAUUUAACCAGAAAGUCACGGCUAACUACGUGCCAGCAGCCGCGGUAAUACGUAGGUGGCAAGCGUUAUCCGGAUUUAUUGGGGCGUAAAGAGAGUGCAGGCGGUUUUCUAAGUCUGAUGUGAAAGCCUUCGGCUUAACCGGAGAAGUGCAUCGGAAACUGGAUAACUUGAGUGCAGAAGAGGGUAGUGGAACUCCAUGUGUAGCGGUGGAAUGCGUAGAUAUAUGGAAGAACACCAGUGGCGAAGGCGGCUACCUGGUCUGCAACUGACGCUGAGACUCGAAAGCAUGGGUAGCGAACAGGAUUAUAUACCCUGGUAGGAUAGCG
rnacentral:rRNA from 1 species